GGUUUGAUUAUGGCUCAGAUUGAACGCUGGCGUGGAUGCUUUACACAUGCAAGCUUGAACGGCAGCACGGACUUCCGGUCUGGUGGCGAGUGGCGAACGGGUAUAAUGACGGAACGUCAAAUAGCGGGGGGAUAACUACGCGAAAGCGCUGGCUCGCAUACGCCCUUCGGGGGAAAGCGGGGACCUUCUCUUCGCCUCGCACCAUUAGAGCGGCCGAUAUCGGAUUAGCUAGUUGGUAGGGUAACUGCUCACCAAGGCGAUCGAUCCGGUAGCCGGUUUGAGAGGACGACCAGCCACACUGGACUGAGACACGGCCCAGAAUUCGGCCGGGGAGGCAGCAGUGGGGAAUUUUGACAAUGGGGAAACCUCGAUCCGUUUCAUCCUGCGUGUGCGACAGAAGGCCUUCGGGUUGUAAAGCACUUUGGCAGGAAAGAAACGGCACGGAUAAUACCUCGUGCAAACUGACGGUACCUGCAGACGAAGCACCGCUAAUCACGCCAGCAGCCGCAGGGAUACGUAGGUGCAAGCGUUAACGGAAUUACUGGACGUAAAGCGUGCGGCGGUUCGGAGAAAGAUGUGAAAUCCCAGAGCUUAACUGAACCGCAUUUUAAUCAUCGGAGUUAGAGGUCAGAGGGAGGAGGGUGGAAUUCCGCGUAAGGGUGAAACGUAGAUAUGAGGAACACCGAUGGCGAAGGCAGCCUCCUGAUAACACUGACGCUCAUGCACGAAAGCGUGGGGAGCAAACAGGAUUAGAUACCCCUGGUAGUCCACGCCCUAAACGAUGUCAACUAGCUGUUAAAUUUUCAAAUUAUGGUAGCGCAGCGACCAUAAAGCUGACCGCCUGGGAGUACGGUCGCAAGAUUAAAACCAGCGAAUUGACGGGACCGCACAAGCAGGAUGAUGUGGAUUAAUCGAUGCAACGCGAAAACCCUACCUACCCUUGACAUGUCUGGAAUCCCGAAGAGAUUGGAGUGCUCGCAAGAGAACCGGAACAGGUGCUGCAUGGCUGUCGUCAGCUCGUGUCGAGAGAUGCUGCUGAAGUCCCGCAACGAGCGCAACCCCUUGUCAACAGUUGCUACGAAAGGGCACUCUAAUGAGACUGCCGCGACAACCCGGAGGAAGGUGAUGACGUCGUCUCUAUGGCCCUUAUGGUAGGGGCUUCACACGUCAUACACGGUCGGGACAGAGGGCUUCAACCCGCGAGGGGAGCCAAUCCUGCGAAACCUGAUCGUAGUCCGGAUCGCAGUUCGCAACUGACUGCGUGAAGUCGGAAUCGCCAGUAGACUGCGGAUCAGUACGUCGCGGUGAAUACGUUCCCGGGUUCCACACACCGCCCGUCACACCAUGUGAGUGGGUUUUACCAGAAGAUAGUUAGCCUAACCGUAAGGGGAGGGCGAUUACCACGGUAGGAUCUUGACUGGGGUGAAGUCGCGCGCGUAA
rnacentral:rRNA from 1 species